ACAAGUCCCCAAGUCCCUGCCUCAGAGUCCUAACCUUAUCAAGGAGGAACUUGUCGUUAGUUGAGUGAGGACUCCAAGCCUGAGUGAGUCCGGGAGCCGGCAUCCCCCACCUUGAGAGGGGACCAGUUGUAGGGUGUCUCCACCACCUCAGAAGAAACCCACGCACUUCAGCGGCCACCCCUCUGUCCCCCGUGCACCCUGUGGGCAGCCACACGCAGGGCGGGGGCACCGAAGAAGCGAGAGUCAAGGGCAUGUGAUGCUGGCCCCCCCCACACACACAGAGCGGCUUUCCAGUGGCCUGCGGAGGUAAACACGACUUUGAAAGAGAGCAGAGCCGGGGAGGCGGGCUAUGGAGCAUCUCCUGUGACCGCUGGGGUCCCUGACUCGGGAGCCGUGAGGAGGGGCCCCUGCAGUUCCCCCAACCCCGGGCUGACCCCAUCCACACAGGUCCUGGGACGGCACUUCCCUUCCUCAGCAGACGGGUGUCUCACAACUGCAGGAAGACUCACAAGUUAGCCUAGUUUGUGUGAUACAGGCCGUAGCAUCGGGGCUUUCGUAGGAGGCAGUCUGGACGGGUUUGGUACUUUACAGCCUUGUGGUGGUUCGGGACUUGGCUGGGUGUUGGUAAAGUCUUGUAAGUCUGAUUUUAGACGUGGCCCUGACGGACUCGGUCUUGUCCUGUUAUGUGUCUGUUUCUAGGCUUUAUUCUGGCCUUGGGGUUUCUCUGGGAUGGGUGGGAGGCUUCCUGCGAGCCACGAUUCUUGGCCCUCCCCCAGGUACUCCGUCCACGUGGGCGCUUUGCUGUGGUCACCACAUCCCGUGCCUGCCAGGCGUUUUCUGCGUCUUCACUCUUUCUACCUGCUCCACGGCGCCCCCGGACCCACCUGCGUGCCUGAGACACAGGUCGCGCUGGAGCUCUGCCCCUGAGAGGCUGCCCCGGCUCCCGGCCGGCCCGCAGUGAAUCUCCGGGUUUCUACUCCGAGGCCUCUGACCCUGGGCGUUCCUCUGUCUUUUGUUGGCCGUGAGGGCUGACCGAGGGGGCCUCUGAGCCUUGUCCAUAUUUAUUUGUUUUCACAAGGACGUUCGGUUUGGUUGUGACCAGCAGCGGAAGUCCACACUUUGGGUUUGUCUGCUCGAGGUGUGCGAGUUCCCUCAUCCCUGGAGUCUGUGCAGCUGGCAUUUUUAAAAUGGUCACUUCGUGUCCGUUUGAGGAACCAGUCACGCUCCUGGGGUUGGAUGUGCUCGAAGACUCGUGUCUGCGAUUUGGCAAGGAGCGCUUUUCUGCGCAAAGCUUUUCCGGCCUGUGGCAUUUCCACUAGAAGUCAGCUCUGCAGGGAGCCUGCUGGUGGAACGAGAGGGGACGUCCCUCCUGACAGGGACACCGUUUGGGGAACCACCAUUACCAAGCAGCAAUUUCUUUUCGUUUUUUUAAAGUGUAUUUUAUUGAUUAUGCUAUUACAGUUGUCCCAUUUCCCCCCCUUUAUUCCCCUCUGCCCUGCACCCCACCCUCUAGCAUUCUCCCCCUUUAGUUCAUGUCCAUGGGUCCUACAUAUAAGUUCUUUGGCUUCUACAUUUCCCACACUAACCUCCCCUGUUUAUAGUCUACCUACCAUUUAUGCUUCCUGUUCCCUGUACCUUUUCCCCCUCCCUCCUCCUCCCUGCUGCUAACCCUCCACAUGAUCUCCAUUUCUAUGGUUCUGCUCCUGAUCUAGCU